UGGGGAAUUUUGGACAAUGGGGGCAACCCUGAUCCAGCAAUGCCGCGUGUGUGAAGAAGGCCUUCGGGUUGUAAAGCACUUUUGUCCGGAAAGAAAUCGCCCUGGCUAAUAUCCGGGGUGGAUGACGGUACUGGAAGAAUAAGCACCGGCUAACUACGUGCCAGCAGCCGCGGUAAUACGUAGGGUGCAAGCGUUAAUCGGAAUUACUGGGCGUAAAGCGUGCGCAGGCGGUUGUGCAAGACAGAUGUGAAAUCCCCGGGCUUAACCUGGGAAUGGCAUUUGUGACUGCACGGCUAGAGUGUGUCAGAGGGGGGUAGAAUUCCACGUGUAGCAGUGAAAUGCGUAGAUAUGUGGAGGAACACCGAUGGCGAAGGCAGCCCCCUGGGAUAACACUGACGCUCAUG
rnacentral:rRNA from 1 species